GAUGAACGCUGGCGGCGUGCCUAAUACAUGCAAGUCGAGCGAACAGACGAGGAGCUUGCUCCUCUGAUGUUAGCGGCGGACGGGUGAGUAACACGUGGAUAACCUACCUAUAAGACUGGGAUAACUUCGGGAAACCGGAGCUAAUACCGGAUAACAUGUUGAACCGCAUGGUUCAACAGUGAAAGACGGUCUUGCUGUCACUUAUAGAUGGAUCCGCGCCGCAUUAGCUAGUUGGUAAGGUAACGGCUUACCAAGGCAACGAUGCGUAGCCGACCUGAGAGGGUGAUCGGCCACACUGGAACUGAGACACGGUCCAGACUCCUACGGGAGGCAGCAGUAGGGAAUCUUCCGCAAUGGGCGAAAGCCUGACGGAGCAACGCCGCGUGAGUGAAGAAGGUCUUCGGAUCGUAAAACUCUGUUAUUAGGGAAGAACAAAUGUGUAAGUAACUAUGCACGUCUUGACGGUACCUAAUCAGAAAGCCACGGCUAACUACGUGCCAGCCGCCGCCGUAACAC
rnacentral:rRNA from 1 species